rnacentral:sRNA from 1 species
GUGAAAGGAUCCCUCAAAGCAGGCUUCUUUGGGACGGUGGUGGAGUAUGGAGCUGAGAGGAAGAUCUCCAGGCAUAGCGUUUUGGGUGCAGCUGUCAGCAUUGGAGUUCCACAGGGCGUUUCUCUGAAAGUCAAGCUCAACAGGGCCAGUCAGACAUACUUCUUCCCUAUUCACUUGACGGACCAGCUUCUGCCCAGCGCCGUGUUCUAUGCCACCAUGGGGCCUCUAGUGGUCUACUUUGCCAUGCACCGUCUGAUCAUCAAACCAUACCUCAGGGCUCAGAAAGAGAAGGAAUUGGAGAAGCAGAGGGAAAGCGCCGCCACCGAUGUGCUGCAGAAGAAGCAAGAGGCGGAGUCCGCUGUGAGUGUUGCCCCGCCGUUCUUAAGCGAGGGCUGUAGGGGACACACUCCACACCCCACAUGUUGGUCUCAGGGCCUUAGAUGGCAGACUUCUCUUCUCCAGCAACUUGGCUAUUUAGUCUCUAUUGUGGGAUGCGGUGCUGGGCUCUGCAGUCCCUGCCCUGAAGAUAAUUACCCUCCAAAGGCAUAACAAGGGCUUUUUUUAAAGUGGUGAGUAUUGGCCUCUUUUUCUUCCCUCUGAGUGUUCUGCCUUUUACUGAGCAGGAGGGAGCAGGCUUCCUGGGUAAGUGGCGAGCAUACUGCCAGGUGGCCAUGGGCCGUGUGCGUGGCCUGGUGAGCACAUGCCUGUCUGAGGGGGCGGCACAGCUAUACCCAGCAGAAUGGCACCACAGGAGAACACAGGUCCUUUCUCAAGAGGAGCUGGGAUUCCAGCUUCUCCUGUGAAAUCUCUUUAUUUUUAAAGCUGACAACGCAUUCAGUGUUUUUUUAUUGGGUCAACAAAUCCCACCCACACAUUAAUGAUCCCUAGAAAGGGAGCUCCCACCGGUGGCCACGGGAGGGUCAUGCCGUUUCAGGUGCUUCUCACCUUCUGACCCAGAGCUGCCUGCCCUAGGUCUAGGAGUUUCAGAGUGAGCCACUUGGGUAGCAGAGCUGUCAGGGCGCCCAUUCCCUUCCUUUCCAGGCCCUGAGCAGGUAUGUUGAUGUGGACAAGACUGCCUGCCUGUGGCCCUCUGACCAGAGGUGGAGCAGGCCUGGUGGGGCCCUGACUGUGUCAUCCUUGUUCUCUGGCAGGUCCGGCUGAUGCAGGAAUCUGUCCGAAGGAUAAUUGAGGCAGAAGAGUCCAGAAUGGGCCUCAUCAUUGUCAAUGCCUGGUACGGGAAGUUUGUCAAUGACAAGAGCAGGAAGAGUGAGAAGGUGAAGGUGAUUGACGUGACUGUGCCCCUGCAGUGCCUGGUGAAGGACUCGAAGCUCAUCCUCACGGAAGCCUCCAAGGCUGGACUGCCUGGCUUUUAUGACCCGUGUGUGGGGGAAGAGAAGAACCUGAAAGUGCUCUAUCAGUUCCGGGGCGUCCUGCAUCAGGUGAUGGUGCUGGACAGUGAGGCCCUCCGGAUACCAAAGCAGUCCCACAGGAUCGAUACAGAUGGAUAAACUGCCAAGAACCAGAUUUUUAAAAGGCUGCAAAAAAUCUUUUCCUGGGAGUCUACAAAUUUGGAAAUGGAAAAAACCCCGACAUCAGAUGUUUUUAUUUUAUAUUAUUAUUAUAGGAGGUGGCACCAUUAUCAAUUAUGUGAAGGGGCAUGCGGACACCCCAGCUUUUGAGGGUGCUGGGGGUAGGACUGAGGCAGCCCCACUGGAAACCAGACUGCAGCCUGGCCCAUGGCUGUUUUCCCAAGGACCAGUUCCUGGAGGGAAGGGCCCUGGCCCUGACUCUGCUGGGUCCCCUGAGCACGCGUGCUGACCGCAGCCUGCCGCCCUGUAGUUCUUGGUUAGGUCUGGAGGUGUUUGUGGAACACCCUGCCCUCACCACAGGAGCGUGAGCCACUUCUGAAGUCCACGCUGAACAUGCGAAACAACCUGAAAAGCAGGCAGGCCUCCAGGUCAGGGAGCCUCUGCUGCGUUGACUUCCCACGACCACCUCCUCCUGCUGAAAUAUUACUGCUUGAAUCUGGAGCAGAUUGCGGGUUUAUAAAACUGCUUUUUAUCUGAGAACAAACGGGUUUGGAAAUUAGUCUUUUUUCCCCACUCCCAGAACUGCUCAAAUCAUUCCACCGGCCCCCUCGGCUUGGGACAGGGUAGUGUAACUCCCUAUCCCAGGGCCUAGCCCUGACACAGGUGGCUUCCCGUAUCCCUGUGGGAAAACGCCCUGCCACCAGUGGGCUUGAGCUGGCCUGUGUCCCUCCACCGCCUGCACCACCCACCUCCGGAGUGCAGUGCUGGGCAAGGGGGCAGCUCAAGAGGACAGGACCAGGCGCUUGGCAAGACAUCAGACACACCCAACCCGGAGGCGUGGACCCCAGGCCUGGCCCGUGGCACGCGGUGGGUGGCACUGCAGCUCCCCGCUCCUGCAGGUCCAGCGUCCUCACAGGAACACCAGGGCCUGUGCUCCGGAGCCUUCCUUCAGACCCUUCCUCCACGUGCCCACUUGGGAUGCAGAAUGCGGCGGAGCCAGGACCCCCUCCACGGCCUGGGCUUCGGCUGCAGUAAAGUUACGUGAGGCCUGUCUCACGGGUCCUGGAAGUGGCAGCCAUCAGUUGCUCUUGUUGACCCCUCCCAGCAAGCACUGCACAGGUGGUGGCUGAGACAGCUGGCGCGGGGGGCCCCAAGCUGCGCCGGCCUCCAGCCCACCCACAGCUGUUGCUAAAGUCACGCCUCCCUCCCAGCACUGGUAUCUGAGUAACGGCUAAGAACCUCCUUCCUCUGGUUUUGAAAGGCAGUUCAGGUUGUCCAAUUCUGUAACAUUCAUCUCCAUUUUUAAAAAACGUUUCUCUGACGGCCCCACGGCCCGAGCCGCGGUGAGCGUCGUGUUGCAUGAGCCUGGGCCCCGGGCUUCCCGUGCGCCUCUGCCACAGGUGCUUCUGGGCACCCAUCCUCUGCGUUUCAUUUGCAGUCGACUGUACAGAAGGCACUCACCACAAUAAACCUUUCCUGAAAGCAGA